rnacentral:lncRNA from 1 species
CUCUAUGUCAGGUGCAGUGAAUUUUUAAAAUGAUUUUGAAAUUGUCCGCCUUCUGUCAAAAUACUUCAGUGUUUUUUGUAUUUCUGGGGGACAAACAAUACAUAUUUAAAGGCUGCUACAAAUUUCUUUCUUUUUUGGAAACAAACCAUUGAAGCACAAUUUGAAAAACAAAAACAGAAGACCAAAUUCUAUUACAAUCUUAUUAAUUUGACCAAAAAAAUUUUUAAAUGUUUUUCAGGAUUACUGCUGCCAAGAGUUUUAUACAUCAGGGACCUCAUUUAUAAAUGCAUUAUUUACUUUGUCUCUCUACUCACUUAUACAGAUAGAAUCAAUACAGAAUUUACUUACUGCAAGCUGUGUAAGGUUCCAACAAGACUUAAUUCCUAUAUGGAUUUUUCUUCAUCUCUAGAUGUAUUCUCAUUUUCAAAAGGUUUACCACAACAAAACAAAGAAGCUACAAAAUACUUCCGUGGGUGGAUGCUAUUUUUUAAAGAAACUGCUCCCGUUUUUCUUUAUUUCAAGCUUACCCACAGGUAACCCAUUCUUGAGCAGUGUGCACGAUCUGGGGGAGGAUGACGCACCCUCAAUCUCAGUUCUACUUGCCGAAUAUGAAGUUUCAACAAAUACUACCAGGAAAACACUGUGGCGCCAUUGCAUGUCUGCAUCUCACAUUUCUAGGAAAGGUCAGACAUUUUUUGUCUAAGUGGAAAACAGGGUGAGAUUACAGUAAUUAGAGUGAGUAAUCCAAAAGGCAGCAAAGCAGUGAGUCCAAGCCUGGCUCCAAAGUCAGUGUCAUGGAUGUGAGUACUGGUUCCAGUGAUUCCAAGACCCACUAGUCAUGGGACUUUGCCAAGUCAAUGACCUCCCUGUUCCCAUAACUGUGCUUUGGUUUCCCUGUCUGUGAAAUGCCAGUAAUUAUUCUUUCUUCCCCAUACAGGUGGAUGUUUAAGGAUUACGUGAGACAAAGAAUGUAAACUCGUCAAAGGACAUACUAGUAGGCACUCAAUAAACAUGAGCUGUUAUCAUCA